UCCGAGUUGACCCCGGCAGUCUCCUAUGAGUCCCCACCAUUACGUGCUGGCAACAUAGAACGAGGGUUGCGCUCGUUGCGGGACUUAACCCAACAUCUCACGACACGAGCUGACGACAGCCAUGCACCACCUGCACACAGGCCACAAGGGAAUACCUAUCUCUAGGCACGUCCUGUGCAUGUCAAACCCAGGUAAGGUUCUUCGCGUUGCAUCGAAUUAAUCCACAUGCUCCACCGCUUGUGCGGGCCCCCGUCAAUUCCUUUGAGUUUCACCCUUGCGAGCGUACUCCCCAGGUGGAGUGCUUAACGCGUUAGCUUAGACACUGCACCCCAAUCGGUGCAGCAUCGAGCACUCAUCGUUUACAGCUAGGACUAC
rnacentral:misc_RNA from 1 species